GAUGAACGCUGGCGGCGUGCCUAAUACAUGCAAGUCGAGCGAACAGACGAGGAGCUUGCUCCUCUGACGUUAGCGGCGGACGGGUGAGUAACACGUGGAUAACCUACCUAUAAGACUGGGAUAACUUCGGGAAACCGGAGCUAAUACAGGAUAAUAUAUUGAACCGCAUGGUUCAAUAGUGAAAGACGGUUUUGCUGUCACUUAUAGAUGGAUCCGCGCCGCAUUAGCUAGUUGGUAAGGUAACGGCUUACCAAGGCGACGAUGCGUAGCCGACCUGAGAGGGUGAUCGGCCACACUGGAACUGAGCCACGGUCCAGACUCCUACGGGAGGCAGCAGUAGGGAAUCUUCCGCAAUGGGCGAAAGCCUGACGGAGCAACGCCGCGUGAGUGAUGAAGGUCUUCGGAUCGUAAAACUCUGUUAUUAGGGAAGAACAAAUGUGUAAGUAACUAUGCACGUCUUGACGGUACCUAAUCAGAAAGCCACGGCUAACUACGUG
rnacentral:rRNA from 1 species